CGCGGCCUAUCAGCUUGUUGGUGGGGUAGUGGCCUACCAAGGCUUCGACGGGUAGCCGGCCUGAGAGGGUGACCGGCCACACUGGGACUGAGACACGGCCCAGACUCCUACGGGAGGCAGCAGUGGGGAAUCUUGCGCAAUGGGCGAAAGCCUGACGCAGCGACACCGCGUGGGGGAUGAAGGCCUUCGGGUUGUAAACCCCUUUCGACAGGGAAGAAGCGAAAGUGAUGGUACCUGCAGAAGAAGGACCGGCCAACUACGUGCCAGCAGCCGCGGUAAUACGUAGGGUCCGAGCGUUGUCCGGAAUUAUUGGGCGUAAAGGGCUCGUAGGCGGUUAGUCGCGUCGGGAGUGAAAACUCAGGGCUCAACCCUGAGCGUGCUUCCGAUACGGGCUGACUAGAGGUAUGCAGGGGAGAACGGAAUUCCUGGUGUAGCGGUGGAAUGCGCAGAUAUCAGGAGGAACACCGGUGGCGAAGGCGGUUCUCUGGGCAUUACCUGACGCUGAGGAGCGAAAGCAUGGGGAGCGAACAGGAUUAGAUACCCUGGUAGUCCAUGCCGUAAACGUUGGGCGCUAGGUGUGGGGACCUUCCACGGUCUCCGUGCCGCAGCUAACGCAUUAAGCGCCCCGCCUGGGGAGUACGG
rnacentral:rRNA from 1 species